rnacentral:rRNA from 1 species
CCAUUGUGCUUCUCAAGAUGUACACACAGGGCUCAUUAUGGAGCAGGUUGCCGUGGGAACACUGAGACCGUUGACAGAGCAAAUUCAAGGGGGCGCGCCCCAGACCCUUAGGCACACUCUGGAAUGUGGGCGUUGGCACAUAUAGAGCCAUUUGCAGUGGUUUCUUAGAAUUCUCGAGGAACGAGUACCACUUUGACACAAUACCUUGUUUAUGGGAGAGCUCUCGUGCUAUGAUGAGUGGCGCCGUAUGUGCUCUUCCCGCCUCAUAACAGAGGUCUUGGAUGCAGGGUCUUCAGUGUGUGAGUGGCUAAACCCCUCUCCACGGGUUGCUGAUAGGCUUAAAUCUCAGUGACAGUGCGAGAGCGCAGAAGUCCUCAGAUACGAGGAGAGUAGUGUGCACUGUGGUGUCAACCUCUGUGCACGCUGCUGAGAUAUAUAGAGCGGCUCACGGCGUGUGUGUAUCUUUACUCUAUCACCUCAUCUCACACGACAAACUCGCGAAGAUAUCCCCUAUAAGUGUUACCGGGGAAAGAAAAAAUGUAACAAGGUCUCCGUUGGUGAACCAGCGGAGGGAUCAUUGCUGGAAUAAACGCCCUCACGGGUGCUACCCAGAAACCCUUUGUGAAUUAUACCAAACCGUUGCCUUGGCAUUAGCUGAAUCUUUUCAAGGGAUUCCCUUUUUUUUCGGAGAAAGGAGCAGGCUGGCCGGUGGCCCUAUAAACUUUUAUUGUUAAAAUAGUACUUUGAGUAAAACAACUAUAAAUGAAUCAAAACUUUCAACAACGGAUCUUUUGGUUCUGGCAUCGAUGAAGAACGCAGCGAAAUGCGAUAAGUAAUGUGAAUUGCAGAAUUCAGUGAAUCAUCGAAUCUUUGAACGCACAUUGCGCCCGCUGGUAUUCCAGCGGGCAUGCCUGUUCGAGCGUCAUUUCAACCCUCAAAGCUUUGUCUUUGGUGUUGGGGCUUUACCCGUCAAAGGGUAUGCCCUGAAAUACAGUGGCGGGCUCGCUAGAAUUUUGAGCGUAGUAAUUUAUACCUCGUUUGUAAAGACUAGUGGGACUUCUAGCCAGAAAACUCCCCCCAUUUUUGAAAAAUGACCUCGGAUCAGGUAGAUGCCCCAC